rnacentral:rRNA from 1 species
AGUGAACGCUGGCGGUAGGCCUAACACAUGCAAGUCGAACGGCAGCACAGUAAGAGCUUGCUCUUACGGGUGGCGAGUGGCGGACGGGUGAGGAAUACAUCGGAAUCUACUUUUUCGUGGGGGAUAACGUAGGGAAACUUACGCUAAUACCGCAUACGACCUACGGGUUAAAGCAGGGGAUCUUCGGACCUUGCGCGAUUGAAUGAGCCGAUGUCGGAUUAGCUAGUUGGCGGGGUAAAGGCCCACCAAGGCGACGAUCCGUAGCUGGUCUGAGAGGAUGAUCAGCCACACUGGAACUGAGACACGGUCCAGACUCCUACGGGAGGCAGCAGUGGGGAAUAUUGGACAAUGGGCGCAAGCCUGAUCCAGCCAUACCGCGUGGGUGAAGAAGGCCUUCGGGUUGUAAAGCCCUUUUGUUGGGAAAGAAAAGCAGCAGGUUAAUACCCCGCUGUUCUGACGGUACCCAAAGAAUAAGCACCGGCUAACAUCGUG